UACGGGGGGGAGCAAACGUUGUUCGGAAUCACUGGGCGUAAAGGGCGUGUAGGCGGCUGAAUAAGUGGGAUGUUAAAUCCCCCGGCUCAACCGGGGACCUGCAUCUCAUACUGUUCAGCUCGAGCACAUCAGAGGAGACUGGAAUUCCCGGUGUAGCGGUGAAAUGCGCAGAUAUCAGGAGGAACACCGAUGGCGAAGGCAGGUCUCUGGGCCACUACUGACGCUGAGAAGCGAAAGCAUGGGGAGCGAACAGG
rnacentral:rRNA from 1 species